AUUGAACGCUGGCGGCAGGCCUAACACAUGCAAGUCGAGCGGAUGAAGGGAGCUUGCUCCUGGAUUCAGCGGCGGACGGGUGAGUAAUGCCUAGGAAUCUGCCUGGUCGUGGGGGAUAACGUCCGGAUACGGGCGCUAAUACCGCAUACGUCCUGAGGGAGAAAGUGGGGGAUCUUCGGACCUCACGCUAUCAUAUGAGCCUAGGUCGGAUUAGCUAGUUGGUGGGGUAAAGGCCUACCAAGGCGACGAUCCGUAACUGGUCUGAGAGGAUGAUCAGUCACACUGGAACUGAGACACGGUCCAGACUCCUACGGGAGGCAGCAGUGGGGAAUAUUGGACAAUGGGCGAAAGCCUGAUCCAGCCAUGCCGCGUGUGUGAAGAAGGUCUUCGGAUUGUAAAGCACUUUAAGUUGGGAGGAAGGGCAGUAAGUUAAUACCUUGCUGUUUUGACGUUACCAACAGAAUAAGCACCGGCUAACUUCGUG
rnacentral:rRNA from 1 species